UUUAGUUAAGAACACCAGUUCUACCUCGCAUAAACUUCUAGCAAUUUACUACUCGUGUUCUUCUGCUUAUCAUUCAUGCGUGAUUGCAAGUUUCAUAUAUAUAUAUAGACCUAAUCAUUUAUACAAGACCCUGAUAUAUCAGAGCUAGACAAUGAAGGAUAAGGGAUUCCCCAUGUGUGAGAUGUCUUUUAGCAAACGAAAAUAUUGAUUAGAGCGCAAACGAGAUUAACGCAAGGACUUACAAAAGUAGUAUAGCUUUAAAAAUAUUCAACGAUUUUUACAAAUAACCAUAAGCAAGUUACUAUAUAGUAUGAUCAGGGUAUAAUAAAUUUUAAGUAGGGUUUAAAAUAUGUUCGAGUACAAUUUGUAUGCUACACUAUUUGUUUGUUAGAUUAAAGAUAUACAGUUAUAAUAUAAUAGUAGAGGAACAGUCUAAAACAAAAUUUGCAGUUCAGCAGCAACACGAAAACUAUAACCACAACCGUCUUAAAUCUCAGUAUGUGUUAUUUGACACUCGUGCUACGGGAAAGUUGGAAGUUUCCUGACCGUUCCGUUCAGUGGACUAAGUAAAGUACUGUAUAUAUAAGUUACCUCCGUACGGGAACAAGUUACAACCGCUUUUCUUAUGAUGUCAUUGAUAUCUCAAAUUACUGCAAUUCUCCUUGCUUUGGUAAGUCACAUUGGAAUGGAUGAUCAAAAUAACAAUGUUACAGAGUGUUGCCUUUCAUCUGCUACAUUUGUUUUAAUCGCAGUCGCUUGUUAUGGAGAAUUGUUUGCUCGUACCGGGAUAAGUUAUGAAGGUUAUAGAAUUGGAUACAGUUUUGGGAUAGCGUGUACAGUAGGCGUGAUGAACAUCGCAUCUGCAAUCUUCAGAUAUGUAGAGGAACGUAGCCUAUUUCUGUAUUCGCAUUCUUUUGCACUGGAAGAACAGAGAACUGAUAUAUAUAUAUAUAUAUAUUAUAUACGUAUUUACAGCCAAGUUCAAAGUAGGUUAUUCAUUGUGAUAAUAUUCAGUACCUGUUGAUUGGGAUGACAAGCAUCUAUGUACACACCCUGACCUCAAUCAACAAGUAUUUGUGGUGUCAAGAAUUCUUCUGAUGAGUCACUAAUGGGGGGCUUGCCUUCCGUGUUUGGACGCACUGAACCUGACAGCCGCUGAAUUUCUCAUGCACAAAACCAGACACAGUUCCGAAACGAACUUGCUUUAUCUUCCACUCAACAUUAGCCUAUACCUAAUACAAUUCUAAAUAGGUGAGAUAAUAUGCAAACGGCAAUGUGCAGUGACAUUUACAUCGAAAUAUGUACAUAAGAAUGGCAAUAGGUGGCAACACUUCAAACCAUGCUUUUAUACAGAAAAAAGGGUAAUUGACUCUAUGUCGUCACCUAGCAGAAUAAAUAGAUGAGAAUGAAAGAGAUAACUAUUAUUCAUCAUCAACACCUGUAGACACUGACACAGCCACUAGCAAUACACAAAACGGGUUUCUUCUCACAACUGAAUUGAUACAAGCUUUGUACUUGAUUCAAUAAUUACAUAAACAACAAAACAACGCUGAAACGUAUGUACACAAAAUCCAAGAGGAAGCUGUAGGGAUAGCUCGAGAGAGGGUGCAGAAGCGCUGUAGGAACAACAACAUAAUAACAAAAGAAUCAAUAUUUACAUUUUGUGUCCAAUAAUCUUUUUACUCACUUCUCCCUGAUGAGCGGUUGAUAAUUCACGAACAACCAUUUUUGCAAUUAUACUCAUUUAUCAAUGACCAUGUUUGAACUCCUGUAGAAUUUGUUUCAAAGUAAAAACUAAUACAAAGGAUGUAUAUACCCAAUUGUGAGAUUCAAUUUUUUUGUCAGUCGUUUCCAUCACAAAAGUCAUAUUUUUCACCGGGUUUUAUUACAAAAAAUCAUUGACAGUAACCAGUAAUGCAAACCGGUUUACUGAUCUCAUAAAAUACCGUGAGACGGUUCUAUAGAACCGGUGCGAACCGGCUGAAUCCCACUACUGUAUAUACCUACUAAAAUUUUCAACUUUGAAUAUAAAAUGGUGUAGCUAAUUGAUUCAGACCCAAACUGUUUUAAUACAUGCAGUGAGUGAAUUGUGCACGUGUGAACAUAACUUUAUAUGG